GACGAACGCUGGCGGCGUGCCUAACACAUGCAAGUCAACUUGACUGAAGGAGCAAUCUGACAGUAGAGUGGCGCAAGGGUGCGUAACGCGUAAGUAACUUGCCCAAGGUAAGGAAUAACGUCGAGAAAUCGGCGCUAAUACCUCAUAAUGCAGCGGAUCCGCAUGGAUAUGUUGUUAAAGGUUUACCGCCUUGGGAUAGGCUUGCGUCUGAUUAGCUAGUUGGUGUGGUAACGGCACACCAAGGCUACGAUCAGUAACUGGUCUGAGAGGAUGAUCAGUCACACUGGAACUGAGACACGGUCCAGACUCCUACGGGAGGCAGCAGUGAGGAAUAUUGGGCGAAUAGCUCGAAAG
rnacentral:rRNA from 1 species